UCUCAGGCUGUGACUAUCUGGAGGUAAGAAGUGCUUACUGUUGUCUUAAAGAAAAGAAAGUGCUUUCUUUCCGAGGGUUACGGUUUGAGA
rnacentral:pre_miRNA from 8 species